CUCAGUGAAGCACAUCACCUGAAGAAAUCUAAAUUUCACAUGCAAAUACUUCUUGAAGGUCUAGCUGCAUCUGGCUUUCUCAUAGUAUUUGCCUUGUUGAUUUCAAAAGGCUACUUAUAUGAAUAAGGUGAUUCUGCCACCUGCCCAUUGAAUGAAAGUGUUAUUCUAGCAGCAGUAGCCAUUCAGUGGUUGCCCAAGGGCAUGUCAGCCUGGACCUCAUGGCAGCACAGAAAUUGGUGAGAGAAGAAUGAAACAAGCCGUUUGAAGAGUGAGUACUAAUGAGAAUGGAAGAAAAAUCCUGAAUGCAGCAAAAAGAGGUUUGAUUGACCAAGUUACUUCAUUUGGAGCAGAUUCAUGAGGAAGUUUGCAUCCCUUCAAUGAAGUGGCUUGGAGGAUGGUAGGAACAUGUUCAGUAGAUCUGUGUCAGUACAGAGUCCACUUCCUUUGUCUCUCAGAUAUGUUGCCAAGAAAUAUAUUCAGCAUAAGAAACGAA